rnacentral:tmRNA from 1 species
CAUCUUCUCAUUUAGCCGGUUUAUGCCUAUAUCUCUCUUGUCCUUACGGACUAUGGCGAUAAACGCGCGUGUAAUAACUGGACCGGACCCGGGGGCGGUACCCGGCGGCUCCACCAUCUUCUCCUCUUUAUCGGCUUUGACCCGGGGGAGCAGUUGAUGGGGCCGAAAUAGGAUCGACGGACGGCCAAAGACGUUAGCUUUUGCCCGGGUGAGGCCCGUUACAGGCUCGUUCGCAAUAGUUGCUAACGACAACAUUGCUCAUGAGA